AGCUUUAUUUUUCUCCAUAGCAGAUACCUGCCAUUGGCUGUAUUUUCCUUGUCUUGUUGACUGUCUCCUGGAUGGAUGGAAGAGUCUGUGACUCCCCAAGGGCAGGAAUCUUAUUUGGUUAACACCGGGGCAUGGCCUGAAAAACCUGUUAGCAGAGUGAAUGAAUCGGAUGUGUUUGUUUUGAAAAGGACGGGUGUGGCUUGAUGCCGAGGAGCUCAGCAUCAUCUCUCAGACCCGGACUCACGUCGUAGCUCUACAGCCAGAACUUCCACAGGCUGCUGGUGGCAUGCAAGCCCCGAGCAGCCACUUUGGAAAAUGGUUUGCCAACUUCCCGCAAGAUUAAAUAUACACUUCCCAUAGGACCCAA